rnacentral:rRNA from 1 species
AAUGAACGCUGGCGGCGUGGAUUAGGCAUGCAAGUCGAACGCGAAAGUAGCCGCAAGGCUGCGAGUAGAGUGGCGAAAGGGUGAGUAAUGCUUGGAUGACCUACCCUCGAGACGGGGAUAACAGUUCGAAAGGACUGCUAAUACCCGAUAGUCCGUCCCGGAUGCGUCCGGGCCGGUAAACGGUUGAUUCCGCUCGUGGAGGGGUCCAAGUCCUAUCAGCUAGUUGGUGAGGUAACGGCUCACCAAGGCUACGACGGGUAGGCGGUCUGAGAGGACGACCGCCCACAUCGGGACUGAGACACUGCCCGGACUCCUACGGGAGGCUGCAGUCGAGAAUCUUCUGCAAUGGGGGCAACCCUGACAGAGCGACGCCGCGUGGAGGAUGAAGGCCCUCGGGUUGUAAACUCCUGUCACAUGUUAAGAAUCGCACGAGUUCACUCGUGCGUUGACU